GCUAGAGCACUUUUUCAAUGUGUUCCCCAACGAGAAGGCAACGACGCAUUCGUAUGUCAAUCCAUAUCAACUUUCGAUUCCAUUCACUGCGCCUACCAUGGGGACCACGGGUAACGGGGAAUCAGGGUUCGAUUCCGUACAGGGACCCUGACAAACGGCUACCACAUGCAAGGAAG